CCGCGACUGCAAAGCAAACAAGUUUCUGCUGGAAAACUGCAAAUGAAAGUGUACUUAUACUUUAUUUUACGUUAUUUUAUUUUUAUUUUUAACAUGGAGAUCCAGUCACUGCUGUGAUGGGCAGCAUCUGCUGUCAUGGACGUCCUGGCUAUUUAAAGGCUCAGAAUCAUCAUCUUCAGUUGUAUGUCCAGAUCUUGUUGAGAAUUGAGGAGGUUUGGAGGAUUUGGGUUGCUCGUGAAACAGUUUUCCUGUGAUUGUAGAACAAAUUGCCGCUCAUCGCUCUGCUGGUUGGCCAUCCUCAACGGGCUACUCAGUUUUAAGGAUUGAGAUUAUUGCGAAAUAUUGCAAACAUUUGCAGAAAUAUGUGAAGUGCAUGUAAAUCAGUAUGUAAAAAUAUCUGUUUGGGGAUAUACUUGGGAAGUUUGGUUGCCAUUUCAGACCAGUUGACGCACGGAAGGGAGCGCUUGAAAGCUGGCUGAUAGAUACUUGGGUUCUGUGGGGAUGACUAAAUGUGAGAGAAUGACGGGCUCCAUCGGCGAAGAUUUGUACGUCAUCGAGAUCUGACGAAUACAUGGAUAAUUCAUGAACAGAUCGAUCAGGAGGUCCGGAAUUGGGUGCAAGUCGGGCGAUGCUGAAUGAAACAAGAAUCAACGUGGGGGUCGAUGUCUUCAUCUUGGACGCCAAGUCACACAUUCAGAAAAUGAAAAGGAUUGGGGCUGCAUUCAUAAAGUGUGGAUUUGGAAGAUCUCUACAAGAAAACACAAACCUUAUAUUAGCGGGUUUGAGAAGAAAGCAGAUGCCUUCGCGCUGCUCCAUGGGACCCGUGGGACCCGUCGCGGGUAGACCACGUUUGCGUGCUUCCCCUUUGAAGCCAUCGAUGCUUGUGCCAUUAGCUCCAGGUACUGCUAGAAAAGUUCCUCCGUGAUUGAUGCUCCGUUGGUAGCACUCACUCUGCAUCACGAACUGUCUCUCUGAAGGAAGGAGUGCCCUCAAGAUAAAUCUGGACAGCGACCCUCGCUUAACUAAAAAAAAGAUGAGAUCAUGCCAGGCUUUUGUCAAUUGUUGAAUAAGCCACCUCCACACGACGUUGUAAUCUUUCAGUUGACGUUUUCUGGUUCAUGUCUUCAUCAGAUCGCAACUCUCAACUACUGGCUUUUGGUUUUUAAGUUCACUUUAUAUCAUCUCCAGACUCCUCAUCCUUUAAUUUUGAUUUUUUUUUAAAGAUUUUAUGUGUUUGAAUUCUGCUGACGAAUAGAACGACGAACAUGUCACAAUCUUGAAGAACAUCAGACCCUACAGAAGAUGUCAAUUUGUCGCUACAGCUCCUGUUUUCUUGUCACGAGAUGGGCUACCUCAGGUUCCAGAUUAGACCUCUGAAGUGUGAUUAACUCUUGUCGAAAUCUAGGACUGGCCCAUGCUGUACUCCAAGUGCGAUUAACAGUGGUGAUAAUUUGGAAGUUCAUUGUUCAUGUA